UACGGGGGGGAGCAAGCGUUGUUCGGAUUUACUGGGCGUAAAGGGCGCGUAGGCGGUCAGCACAAGUCAGUUGUGAAAUCUCCGGGCUUAACUCGGAAAGGUCAACUGAUACUGUGCGACUAGAGUGCGGAAGGGGCAACUGGAAUUCUCGGUGUAGCGGUGAAAUGCGUAGAUAUCGAGAGGAACACCUGCGGCGAAGGCGGGUUGCUGGGCCGACACUGACGCUGAUGCGCGAAAGCUAGGGGAGCGAAGCGGG
rnacentral:rRNA from 1 species